CGGGUGUAAAACGCUGCAGACUUGGUGUUGGAGGCCCUUUGGGGGCAUUCAGUGCCGGAGAGAAGUUGUUAAGUCUGCUACUUGGGGAGUACGUCCGCAAGGAUGAAACUUAAAGGAAUUGGCGGGGGAGCACCGCAACGGGAGGAGCGUGCGGUUUAAUUGGAUUCAACACCGUAAAACUCACCAGGGAAGACUGUUACAUGAAGGCCGAGAUGAAGACUCUGCUAGAUUUUCAGAGAGGUGGUGCAUGGCGUCAGUGACU
rnacentral:rRNA from 1 species